rnacentral:lncRNA from 1 species
AGUGAUUGCAUCAGUUGGCCACGCUCAUUAUAUCUAGACCUGGCUUCUGUAACACUUCACUGCACUCCCCAGCCACCCACCCACACCCAUUUCCAGUUCUGGAUCCAGGAGCAAAUUCUUGCUGUCACUGUUCCUAGAAGUGAGGUGCCAAUCUUCGUCCAGAUGGCCAUAACCCCUCUCCUUGGAACUUUCCAAACCAGAAACUUGGCGUCCAUUUCCUUCCAUGCUUCCUCUCCCUCUUCCCAAAGGUUGUUGGGGUUACGUAAGGCCCUGAGAGAAGCCUGCUGCCUCACAUUGACUGAGGAGUGUGAUCAUGUUGGUAGCCUGAGCCCAUCUGUAGACACCAGCAACGAAAUCUUGGGCACUGCAAAGUCUAGGUACCCUUGUUUUUUCUCCAUCACUCAAGAGGGCAAACGUGGCACCAUGAAGCCCAACCCCUGGGGGAGGAUGUCGCCUGACUCACAUUUAGCGAUCCUCGUCUACUGCUUAUUCCAGAUACUCUGGACGAAACUCUACAUCUUGCUACUCUGCCUAUCCCUUACCGUGACUUACCUGGCCUCCCAGUUCCUCACUGUGAUGGUGGGCUUUUUCUACGUUCUGUGGCAUAAAAGACUCCAGGCAGGCAGGGAGCUAAUCUACAUUCUGUCCCAGAAGCUUCCAGUAGAACAGUUGGUCCCCACGUACCAGACUGUAUGGGAGACCCUGUGUGUUGGAAGAACCUGGUCCCUCGGGAUUCUUUGCUCUCUGCUCAGCUCAGCCCAGAGAAGUACCCUGCGACUGCUCAGAACCCUGAGAUGUGAGCUGGACAUGGCUGUAUCCAACGCAAUCCAGUGGUCCUACUGUAGCCUUACCGUUGCCUACCAGAUGGCUUACAAGGUUAUCAUGAGGACAAUUGUCUACCAAUUGGUCUCCUCCCUGCUGGCAGGCUGUCUUGACAGGCUCUGGACUGUCAUAUGUGAGGGACACGAGACUGUAAUAGUUCUCCAAGAGCUUCUCGCGGACUGUAUUGAACAAGACAACCCCAGUACCACCAUGGUUCCUGAAGAAGCCUCCAAUUAUAUUUACCUUGGCAUCCGUACUAAUCCAAGUCAGCAAAUCCCAAGGUGCCAUCCAUCCACCCUGAGUGGGUGCCCCCAGACCACCUGCUUCCCUGCUUCGUACAUCAACACAAGGGACAGUGGCUGUGACUUGGAAGCCGCAGGGGAGCGCCUGAACACCAGGUUCCAAGAUAGCAUGAAGGAGAAGGAAAUUCCACCAACCUCACGGCAUGAAUUCGACCAGGAAAUGAAAAGGCUCUGUAAUGCCAUCAUCUUAAUCUAUCUAUACACCGUAUGCCUCCUCAUGCAAAUCAUGCAAUAAAAGGAACUGAUGGUGUCAUGGCUAUUGAGAGUCUCUGUCAUUUUCUUUAUUG